GCACAAUGCUUUUCUUUUAAUAAUUUGCUUCCUGUCCAGAUCCAUGACCGAGGACCUUUGGUGCUAUCCUCUGUUCCUUUGUUGUCCCUGUUCCUAGCUUCCCGUCAUGGCCAGUACUUGCUGAUGAUCUUCCCCAUUCUUAUCUUUGUAUUUAAGGACUGGAGCAAUGGCUCAGUGGUAAAGAGCACUGACUGCUGCUCUUCCAGACAUCCAGAGUGCAAUUCCCAGCAACCACAUUGUGGUUCACAACCAUCUGUAACAAUCUGAUGCCCUCUACUGGUGUGUCUGAAAACAGCAACAGUGUAUUCAUACAUAUAAAUAAACCAUAUGAAGCCCAAGAAAAAGAAGACCAAAGUGUGGAUGCUUCAGUGCUUCAUAGAAAAGGGAUCAAAAUACUCACAGGAGGAAAUAUGGAGACAAAAUGUUGAGCAGAGACUGAAGGAAAGGUCAUCCAGAAGCUGCCACACCUCGGGAUCAUCCCAUAUGCAGUCAAGAAGCCCAGAUGCUAAUGUGGAUGCUGGGAAGUGCUUGAGGACUAGAGCCUGAUAUGAUUGUCUCCUGAGAGUCUCUGUCAGAGCCUGACAAAUACAAAGGUGAAUGUUCUCAGCCAACAUUGGACUGAGUGCAGGGUCCCCAAUGGAGGAGUUGGACAAUGGACUGAAAAAGCUGAGGGGGUUUGCAGCUCCAUGGAGGGAGUAACAAUGUCAACUGGCCAGACCCCCCCAGAGCUCCCAGGGACUGGACCACCAACCAAAGAAUACACAUGGGGGGACUCACGUCUCCUGCCACAUAUGUGGUAGAGGAUGGCCUUGUUGGAUAUCAGUGGGAGGAGAGGCCCUUGGGCUUGAGGGUUUUUGAUACUCCAGUGUAGGGGAAUGCCAAGGCAGGA